rnacentral:rRNA from 1 species
GAUGAACGCUGGCGGCGUGCCUAAUACAUGCAAGUCGAGCGAACAGACGAGGAGCUUGCUCCUCUGACGUUAGCGGCGGACGGGUGAGUAACACGUGGAUAACCUCCCUAUAAGACUGGGAUAACUUCGGGAAACCGGAGCUAAUACCGGAUAAUAUCUUGAACCGCAUGGUUCAAUAGUGAAAGACGGUUUUGCUGUCACUUAUAGAUGGAUCCGCGCCGCAUUAGCUAGUUGGUAAGGUAACGGCUUACCAAGGCUACGAUGCGUAGCCGACCUGAGAGGGUGAUCGGCCACACUGGAACUGAGACACGGUCCAGACUCCUACGGGAGGCAGCAGUAGGGAAUCUUCCGCAAUGGGCGAAAGCCUGACGGAGCAACGCCGCGUGAGUGAUGAAGGUCUUCGGAUCGUAAAACUCUGUUAUUAGGGAAGAACAAAUGUGUAAGUAACUAUGCACGUCUUGACGGUACCUAAUCAGAAAGCCACGGCUAACUACGUG